rnacentral:rRNA from 1 species
AUUGAACGCUGGCGGCAUGCCUAACACAUGCAAGUCGAACGGCAGCACGGGAGCUUGCUCCUGGUGGCGAGUGGCGGACGGGUGAGUAAUGCAUAGGAAUCUGCCCAGUAGCGGGGGACAACUUGGGGAAACUCAAGCUAAUACCGCAUGCGCCCUAGGGGGAAANCGGGGGACCUUCGGGCCUCGCACUAUUGGAUGAGCCUAUGUCAGAUUAGCUUGUUGGUGGGGUAACGGCCUACCAAGGCGACGAUCUGUAGCUGGUCUGAGAGGACGAUCAGCCACACUGGGACUGAGACACGGCCCAGACUCCUACGGGAGGCAGCAGUGGGGAAUAUUGCACAAUGGGCGAAAGCCUGAUGCAGCAAUGCCGCGUGUGUGAAGAAGGCCUGCGGGUUGUAAAGCACUUUCAGUAGGGAGGAAACAGUAGCCGGUUAAUAUCCCGGUUGCCGUUGACGUUACCUACAGAAGAAGCACCGGCUAACU